UCCAGCGCACUCACCUAUCCACUAAACAGCAACUUCAAUGUUGAAAGAUUUUAUUUGUUUUUUUAAAAACACCUAAUCUAGGCAAAAAUAAUGUAAUAUAAUGUAACUAAACCCCCAUUAUUUUUGCCUAGAUUAGGUGUUUUUAAAUAAACAAAUAAAAUCUUUCAACAUUGAAGUUGCUGUUUAGUGGAUAGGUGAGUGCGCUGGA